rnacentral:tRNA from 1 species
ACAGAGUUGGCAGAAAUAUGUGAAUAAUUUAGGUUUAUUUUAUAAGAUUUAUUAAUCUUACUUUGUA